rnacentral:sRNA from 1 species
AUCUACAUGGGACAUGGCAUGAAUGCUAAAGAGGCCACAAUGACUUUCUCUCACCCUGCUGUUUCUCUGGGCCCAUGUUUCCUGACCCAGGGAGACACCAUUACACCAGCUAUACUCAGCGGCCUUCAGCAAGGAGAAACUGCAGAGUGCCCCUACCAAGAAGCCAGCCCUUCCCUUUGGAGAUCUGCCCAUGGGAUACCAACAUCUGCAUACCCAGCUCCAGUAUGAGUGCAUCUCACCCUUCUACCGCCGCCUGGGCAGCAGCCGGAGGACAUGUCUGAGGACUGGGAAGUGGAGUGGGCAGGCACCAUCCUGCAUCCCUAUCUGCGGGAAAAUUGAGAACGUCACUGCUCCGAAGACCCAAGGGUUGCGCUGGCCGUGGCAGGCGGCCAUCUAUAGGAGGACCAGCGGAGUGCAUGAUGGCAGCCUACACAAGGGAGCGUGGUUCCUAGUCUGCAGCGGUGCCCUGGUGAAUGAGCGCACUGUGGUGGUGGCUGCCCACUGUGUUACUGACCUGGGGAAGGUCACCAUGAUCAAGACAGCAGAUCUGAAAGUUGUUU